AUGCUAAGGUAUAUGAGAAAGCUGCCGCUGCCAGAAAAAUUCAGCCACCAACUAGCUACAAGCCCAGGAAUUAUACACCUCAAUACAAAGCUAAUACUCCUGCACUACAAGUUCAAGUACCAGCUCAAGAAAAGUACACUGUACCUUUUCCCAAGGAUGCUAGAGCUUGUUGGUACUGCAGGGAGCCAUGGACAAGACAACACAAGUGCAAAAUUGGAAAAACACUACACAUUGCAAGAAGUGGAUGAGAAUGAAGAAAGUGAUAGCACUGAAGAUAAUACUGUUCCUGGUCAGACCUAUCACACAGCUCCAAAUACCCCAGACAAAGAGAAAGUACCUGAGAACACUGUACAAAAACCUAUAUCUCAAGCUAUGCACAUCUCUGUUAAUGCUGCAGAAGGAACUCCUGGCCCAAACACUUUUUCCUUGAUAAUAGACAUAUCUAGCAAAAAGGCCACAACAUUAUUUGACAGUGGGUCAUCAGACACUUUCAUGAGUGCAAAUUUUACAGUUAAAUGCAAUUGUUACCAACAACAAAUACAACCCAGAAAAGUCACAGUUGCUGGUGGGGGCAAGUUAAUUUCUACUUCUCAAGUUCCAGAACCAGAUUUCAAAGCACAAGGUCAUACUUUUUCCAGCACAUUCAAGGUCCUAGAUUUAGCUACAUAUGACAUCAUUCUAGGAGCUGAUUGGAUAUACAAAUACAGUCCAAUUUGUUUGGAUCUAGUGGAGAGGUAA
rnacentral:rRNA from 1 species